GUCCCUUGCUUCGAGGUUUCCUGUGGACUUUCUGUAGCUAUAGUACACAUGGUUUGGCAGGGAAGGGUGCAUGCUCUUGAGUCCAGUGACUUAGGCUGCUGUCUUUGCUUAGUCACUUCCUAGCUGAGGGAUCUCGGACAAGUUACUUAACCUCCUUGUACCUCAGUGUACUACUCCUCUCUGAUGGGGAGCAGAGUCAUAGUCCUGGCCUCAUCGGGCUUUAGAGGGUUAAAUGAGUGAAUGCGAGUGAGAUGCUGGGCUUACAUAGUUACUCUUGAGCAGGAGAGCUGGGAGAGUCACGGGCUCUGAUAGUUUUGUAAUUAUGAGAUUGUAGAGGGGGACCUCUUCCCCAGGUGCUGGGAGGAUUACAGCCAAGCCCAGGUUCUGCCUCCUUGACACAUACUUUUUCCCUUGCCCAGUUUACCUUGGCACAAAAGGAUAAUUCAUUGGUAUGUCCACAUCCUGGUCCUCGGCAUAAAUCUCCCCUCCUGGCGCGUGUGGUGACAGCUCCCCAGGUCUCCUGCACUUUCUUCGCCCAGUUUCCCAUUAAUGUUGCCCACACGAAGAAAGGCCUAGUGUGCCUUUCUUCCCCCGAAGCCAUUCUUCUUUGGAGAAGAGCAGGGGACGAGGACAUUUCACCGGUAUCACAUCACACGUGGC
rnacentral:lncRNA from 1 species